rnacentral:misc_RNA from 1 species
UCAAAGAUGAAAGAUGGGGAAGAAAACCGCUAGGCUCGGUAGUGAAUACAGGCUCGAGUGCUUCAAAACCAAACCAAUUAUCAUGGCAUCAAGGACAGCACUCUAGCUAUUCUAAAAACCUGAAGAGAAAAAGCAUGAGACAUAAAACACACUCAUGCGACAUUCUCCUCUUUAGCAGCUACUAAGCAAAAAAAGGAAAUGACCCCCCAUCUAUUCUGCAGACACAGGAACGAUAAGAAGGGAUUGUUUUCGGUUUAAGUGGUUAUACAAUAAUGGUUGUUGAAGCAACAAUAGAAAAGCUUGUUCUUGCGCGGUAACCUUCACAUUUAUUCAUUCUUUUGACUGCUUCUCCUCACAAAUACUAUCUCUGGACCGGUUGAUUUUGGGUCAUUUCCCAAUACUGGUUGAAGCCUUACCUCGUAGCGUUCAAGUAAUGAAGCGAACAAAGUGGCAACUCCUUGCAUUACAAAUUUCUGACCCACACACACACGUGUACCAGAACCAAAGGGAAGAAAUGCUGCAUUGUCAUUUGGAUCAUUCAAAAUGAAUGAGCUCCGAGUUGGGUCAACAGCACCUUCAGAAACCUCUGUAAAUGAAUUAUCCUGCUCUGAAUGAGAAACCUUUCCAACUUUUGACAAAAACCGGUAUGGAUUAAAUUUGCUAGCAUCACUGCC